rnacentral:tRNA from 1 species
GGUAUCGUCUAGUGGUUAGGACGGCAGAUUCUCAAUCUGCAAACACGGGUUCAAUUCCCGUUACCGCC